rnacentral:lncRNA from 1 species
CAGAUUUUGUAUCAGCAGAUGGUAGUGAAGUAAAUGUAUGCUGAGCUACCUGAAAUGGGAAAGAGGGCUCAGCCUGUUCGGAACAUACUCUUCUAUCCAAUUCACUCUGUUUAUGUACAUACAAUACUUCCUGGGCUUCUCGCCUAGCCUGAAGGCUAUCCUUCUGAAUAUUCAACUGCUCUUGGAGAAAUUUAAAAUUAUUUUGCUGUGAAGAGGCCCGUUUGCUGUUCCACUUCUUUCUGUUUGCACAAAAGCAACUGUUCCUGAGCUUCCUGAGUUGCCUGAAGAACUUUCUUCUGUAGGUCUAACUGUUCUUUAACAGAAUCAGUUAUCAAUGAUGGAGCUGACACCGAUGGGCACCUUCCUUUUAACAUAGUUUGAUAUUCAAGUAAUUGUUUCCUGGCUGUUUCAACAGACUGCCUGUGUAACCU